rnacentral:tRNA from 1 species
GUCCGUUUGUUGUAAACGGUCCUAGCAGUCUGCAAAACCGUUUACUCGGGUUCGAGUCCCGACGUGGCCUCCA